AGGUGUAGGAGGACCGCUGACAGGGCUCGACCCUGAGGAAAGUCCCCUCUCCGUAGUGCAGAUGGCGAGAUAAGAACGUGGUCAGAGAUGGCUAGGACAAUGCAGCAGAAACGAACGAGACUGGGUGUGUACGAUGAAUCCGACAGGACGAGAUUGCCCAGCCCUCGAUGAGACGAGCAUCCCCAUCGGAGCAAGUCCAAACAGCCCUGCUAUGGCGGCACGCAUAGGGGCGGGUAGGAUGCAUAGUUGAAUGUGGUCAACCGGUGAAACGGCGAACAGAAAGGGGCUUAUUCCCUACUCCU
rnacentral:RNase_P_RNA from 2 species